AGAGGAAGGCUCGUCCGCUCUGGGUUAGUCGGGUCCUAAGCUGAGGCCGACAGGCGUAGGCGAUGGAUAACAGGUUGAUAUUCCUGUACCACCUAUAAUCGUUUUAAUCGAUGGGGGGACGCAGUAGGAUAGGCGAAGCGUGCGAUUGGAUUGCACGUCUAAGCAGUAAGGCUGAGUAUUAGGCAAAUCCGGUACUCGUUAAGGCUGAGCUGUGAUGGGGAGAAGACAUUGUGUCUUCGAGUCGUUGAUUUCACACUGCCGAGAAAAGCCUCUAGAUAGAAAAUAGGUGCCCGUACCGCAAACCGACACAGGUAGUCAAGAUGAGAAUUCUAAGGUGAGCGAGCGAACUCUCGUUAAGGAACUCGGCAAAAUGACCCCGUAACUUCGGGAGAAGGGGUGCUCUUUAGGGUUAACGCCCAGAAGAGCCGCAGUGAAUAGGCCCAAGCGACUGUUUAUCAAAAACACAGGUCUCUGCUAAACCGUAAGGUGAUGUAUAGGGGCUGACGCCUGCCCGGUGCUGGAAGGUUAAGAGGAGUGGUUAGCUUCUGCGAAGCUACGAAUCGAAGCCCCAGUAAACGGCGGCCGUAACUAUAACGGUCCUAAGGUAGCGAAAUUCCUUGUCGGGUAAGUUCCGACCCGCACGAAAGGCGUAACGAUUUGGGCACUGUCUCAACGAGAGACUCGGUGAAAUCAUAGUACCUGUGAAGAUGCAGGUUACCCGCGACAGGACGGAAAGACCCCGUGGAGCUUUACUGUAGCCUGAUAUUGAAAUUCGGCACAGCUUGUACAGGAUAGGUAGGAGCCUUUGAAACGUGAGCGCUAGCUUACGUGGAGGCGCUGGUGGGAUACUACCCUAGCUGUGUUGGCUUUCUAACCCGCACCACUUAUCGUGGUGGGAGACAGUGUCAGGCGGGCAGUUUGACUGGGGCGGUCGCCUCCUAAAAGGUAACGGAGGCGCUCAAAGGUUCCCUCAGAAUGGUUGGAAAUCAUUCAUAGAGUGUAAAGGCAUAAGGGAGCUUGACUGCGAGACCUACAAGUCGAGCAGGGUCGAAAGACGGACUUAGUGAUCCGGUGGUUCCGCAUGGAAGGGCCAUCGCUCAACGGAUAAAAGCUACCCCGGGGAUAACAGGCUUAUCUCCCCCAAGAGUUCACAUCGACGGGGAGGUUUGGCACCUCGAUGUCGGCUCAUCGCAUCCUGGGGCUGUAGUCGGUCCCAAGGGUUGGGCUGUUCGCCCAUUAAAGCGGUACGCGAGCUGGGUUCAGAACGUCGUGAGACAGUUCGGUCCCUAUCCGUCGUGGGCGUAGGAAAUUUGAGAGGAGCUGUCCUUAGUACGAGAGGACCGGGAUGG
rnacentral:rRNA from 1 species